CGUACAAGCAGUGGGAGCACCUUCGGGUGUGACUGCGUACCUUUUGUAUAAUGGGUCAGCGACUUAUAUUCUGUAGCAAGGUUAACCGUAUAGGGGAGCCGCAGGGAAACCGAGUCUUAACUGGGCGUUAAGUUGCAGGGUAUAGACCCGAAACCCGGUGAUCUAGCCAUGGGCAGGUUGAAGGUUGGGUAACACUAACUGGAGGACCGAACCGACUAAUGUUGAAAAAUUAGCGGAUGACUUGUGGCUGGGGGUGAAAGGCCAAUCAAACCGGGAGAUAGCUGGUUCUCCCCGAAAGCUAUUUAGGUAGCGCCUCGUGAACUCAUCUUCGGGGGUAGAGCACUGUUUCGGCUAGGGGGUCAUCCCGACUUACCAACCCGAUGCAAACUACGAAUACCGAAGAAUGUUAUCACGGGAGACACACGGCGGGUGCUAACGUCCGUCGUGAAGAGGGAAACAACCCAGACCGCCAGCUAAGGUCCCAAAGUCAUGGUUAAGUGGGAAACGAUGUGGGAAGGCACAGACAGCCAGGAUGUUGGCUUAGAAGCAGCCAUCAUUUAAAGAAAGCGUAAUAGCUCACUGGUCGAGUCGGCCUGCGCGGAAGAUGUAACGGGGCUAAACCAUGCACCGAAGCUGCGGCAGCGACACUAUGUGUUGUUGGGUAGGGGAGCGUUCUGUAAGCCUGCGAAGGUGUGCUGUGAGGCAUGCUGGAGGUAUCAGAAGUGCGAAUGCUGACAUAAGUAACGAUAAAGCGGGUGAAAAGCCCGCUCGCCGGAAGACCAAGGGUUCCUGUCCAACGUUAAUCGGGGCAGGGUGAGUCGACCCCUAAGGCGAGGCCGAAAGGCGUAGUCGAUGGGAAACAGGUUAAUAUUCCUGUACUUGGUGUUACUGCGAAGGGGGGACGGAGAAGGCUAUGUUAGCCGGGCGACGGUUGUCCCGGUUUAAGCAUGUAGGCUGGUUGUCCAGGCAAAUCCGGAUAAUCAAGGCUGAGGUGUGAUGACGAGGCACUACGGUGCUGAAGUAACAAAUGCCCUGCUUCCAGGAAAAGCCUCUAAGCAUCAGGUAACAUCAAAUCGUACCCCAAACCGACACAGGUGGUCAGGUAGAGAAUACCAAGGCGCUUGAGAGAACUCGGGUGAAGGAACUAGGCAAAAUGGUGCCGUAACUUCGGGAGAAGGCACGCUGGUGUGUAGGUGAAGUCCCUGCGGAUGGAGCUGAGACCAGUCGAAGAUACCAGCUGGCUGCAACUGUUUAUUAAAAACACAGCACUGUGCAAACACGAAAGUGGACGUAUACGGUGUGACGCCUGCCCGGUGCCGGAAGGUUAAUUGAUGGGGUUAUCCGUAAGGAGAAGCUCUUGAUCGAAGCCCCGGUAAACGGCGGCCGUAACUAUAACGGUCCUAAGGUAGCGAAAUUCCUUGUCGGGUAAGUUCCGACCUGCACGAAUGGCGUAAUGAUGGCCAGGCUGUCUCCACCCGAGACUCAGUGAAAUUGAACUCGCUGUGAAGAUGCAGUGUACCCGCGGCAAGACGGAAAGACCCCGUGAACCUUUACUAUAGCUUGACACUGAACAUUGAGCCUUGAUGUGUAGGAUAGGUGGGAGGCUUUGAAGCGUGGACGCCAGUCUGCGUGGAGCCAACCUUGAAAUACCACCCUUUAAUGUUUGAUGUUCUAACGUUGGCCCCUGACCGGGGUUGCGGACAGUGUCUGGUGGGUAGUUUGACUGGGGCGGUCUCCUCCCAAAGCGUAACGGAGGAGCACGAAGGUUAGCUAAUCCUGGUCGGACAUCAGGAGGUUAGUGCAAUGGCAUAAGCUAGCUUGACUGCGAGCGUGACGGCGCGAGCAGGUGCGAAAGCAGGUCAUAGUGAUCCGGUGGUUCUGAAUGGAAGGGCCAUCGCUCAACGGAUAAAAGGUACUCCGGGGAUAACAGGCUGAUACCGCCCAAGAGUUCAUAUCGACGGCGGUGUUUGGCACCUCGAUGUCGGCUCAUCACAUCCUGGGGCUGAAGUAGGUCCCAAGGGUAUGGCUGUUCGCCAUUUAAAGUGGUACGCGAGCUGGGUUUAGAACGUCGUGAGACAGUUCGGUCCCUAUCUGCCGUGGGCGCUGGAGAAUUGAGGGGGGCUGCUCCUAGUACGAGAGGACCGGAGUGGACGCAUCACUGGUGUUCGGGUUGUCAUGCCAAUGGCACUGCCCGGUAGCUAAAUGCGGAAGAGAUAAGUGCUGAAAGCAUCUAAGCACGAAACUUGCCCCGAGAUGAGUUCUCCCUGAGACUU
rnacentral:rRNA from 1 species